CCGCGUCCAUCCAUCCAGUCCUGAUUCAAGGCGCAGCGGAGUAACCGCGUUCAAUCCAUCCAGUCUAGAUGGCUGGUGUGCGUUGCUCGAUUGGAUCCGCCGGAGGUGCGGGAUGGGACCGAGGCAAGCCGAUGCGUGCGAUCGAUCGACCGGAGGAGCGGAGCAGCCCUCGCGUGCCGGACGUCGCAAUGCGUGCGAUCCGACCUUCGCCGUGGCCUGCAGUGCGUUCAGGUGGUGGGGGGCAUGGAAUCCCAGGCGCCGACACGAGGCUGUGGCGCGAGCAUUGAAUCAUGCGCUGUCGAUUCGAGUUUCAUUUGUUGGUGAUUCCAUAAUUAAAUUGCAGUUUCUACACGCCAUUACUGGUAAUGGUAUGUGCCGCUCGAGUCCUCCAAUAAUUCAGAGCUAUGUCUUUACUGUACGCGCCUCCAUAUGAUCCGUUUUGCUGCUCUUUGUCAAUUCCCCUCCAGCCCUCCUGCAAAAUCUUCUCCCGCAACCAUGACUGUUCGUGGCCUGUCUGACAUACUUCCUACUACCUCUUCCUUUCCCCAAACUUGUGCAUAUCCAUGUUCUUAUUUAGACUACUCUUUUUGUUCCCAAAUGAUUGCAGGUUUUCUAGCUCGUUGGAGUUUGCUUGCGGUGGGCUUGCUCUUCGCUGGUUCUGCUUGAUUACAAGGUGAAGCACUACCCAGUGUUCUGUGAUACCGUUCCUUCAACCUUGCACGCCCCCACCCCUCGCAAUAGCAGGCGACACCAGGAGAUGGCGACGGCAGCAUUGCCAGCUGCACUCAUGCGCCUCUUCCCCCGUCAGACUGACUUUCGUCCUUGGUGACUCAUGGUGCGGCCUCUAUCUUUAUGAUUUUCUUUUUCCACCCGAUGAUUACAUUAUUUCCUCCCAAUCUAAAUUUUGUACAGUAAUUAUAAAUACCGGGAGGUUGUCAAUUGAUUUGGCCAGAUACUGGAGAAUGGUAUCGAGUUUUUAUUCCAAAUUCUUCGGCCGAUAAUCUCUAAUGGCUUCCCAACAGGUUAAUUAGAACACUAUAGUAAAAUGCAAAAAAAAAUUUGUAGCCGUACUGUUCUAGAGGAGGGGUGAAGCCUCAAUAUGGUCUGCUUCUAUCCACAAAUGAGCAAAGCUCAAUAAUCUUGCGGACAUUUCUACAUAUGUAUGUGGAUUUUCAAGACAGGUACAGGCAUUGCAUCAUUCCAAGCAUAAGGUGAGUUUCUUUCUAGAAUUCGAACAGAAUAUGAAUCAAGCUGCAAGGAACUUCACUCCAAGAGAUCUCAGAUCCAUGCCUAAAACUGAAACUUCUCAGUUCUUGACAAACUAAUAGUAUUUCACAAUGUGCUCACGUUUUUGUCGCCUUCCAUGUAGAUGCAGCCUUUCCCUUCUGGGAUGUUCAUGCGCAGCUUUUUCUAACUUACAGUAUUGAAUUUUCAUCCAGAUUAUCACCGAUGGAACCACCAGCUAAUAAAAUGGGGCAGAAAUGCGUCCUCUAUUUGCUCAUACCAUGCACACGAAUGGAUAAUGAAAUAAGUUAUUUACUCUUCAGUUACACAUAAAUCUAAAUAGUUCUCUUCUAUUUUCUCCCUACCAUGCACGAGAGAGUAGUUAUUUACUCUUCAGUUACACAUAGCAUCUAAAUAGUAGUAAUUGAUAUCCUAUAAAAACCUUAAUUUGGAUCCAUCAACUGAUAAUCAUGCAAUCAGUUAACCUCGCUGCUCACAUGCCAUCCCUCUAUUUAUAUACAUGUUUGUAGCUAAGUAGCAACUAACAUCUCACGUACAUCAACUUUGUUAUGAUCCUGUACAUGCCCAAAGCACACAUGCAGGUCACUUGGCCAUGACUACUCACGCACAGGUGAAGCCCAGAAUAACCCAACCGCAUGGAGUUGAUGCUGGCGAGCUUCUUUUUCAGCCGGGGGUGUUGGAGGCGCUGUCUAGCGCUGUUGCGGCGAGAAUCGCUACAGCCGGGGGUGAUACAGAGAAUAAUGCUCUACCCUUUAAAUUCAAUGCAGCAAAAAAACCUAUGCGUGGCAGUUCAAAAAAGAAAGAAAAAAAGGGAGGGGGCCCAAACAGAGCUGAGGAUGCUCGCAAGCAAGUGUUAGGGAAAAAAGGGGGCAUUCUUUUGGGGCUUGUCCAACGGGCAGUGACUUAGAGUUUUCUUUUGAGAAAGAGAUGGAUAAUUAUGAGUGCAUCUUAUAUGGUGAUGUAAACGUCUCAUCCAAACGGGUGUGCACGGGUAGAGUUGUAGCUGUUGAGGAUGAGGAGGGCGGGGUUACACAUGUUGCAAAGGAGACUGAUGAGAGGGAGGAAGAGUACGCGGAGCGAGGUGGGGAAUCAGUUGGCGAAGACAAAGAUGAGAUUGGCACAUCGGCGGCCUCCGAAGAGGAGGACCGCCGGGCCAAAUGAAAAUCCUAGGCUGGAACUGCCGUGGUAUGCUCUCCAACACGACAGUUCGUGAGCUUCUGGAUCUACAGAAGCGUACAAGGGCAGAUUUAAUUUUCCUUUCUGAAUCCCAUUUGAAUAAUUGUAAAGCCGAUGAGCUUCGUCGCGUAUUAGGUUUUGAUUCUAUGUUUGUAGUGGAAAGUGAUGGUAAGGCCGGUGGCCUCGCUUUGUUUUAUCAUGAGUCCAAUAAAAUUGAGUUGAACUA